ACUCCAGUCCCGCCCGCGCGCCUCAUUGGCCAGACCUCCCUCCGUCCCGCGGCCUCCUCCCUCUUCCCGGAGCUCUCCGCCGAACUGUGGCCGCUGGGGGAGGGCGGGGGGAGUGGAGUAGGAGUCUAAUGGUGCUUACGCUCCGCUUGGGUCUCGCCUUACCCCUCUGAUGUAGGAAAUGGAGAAGGUCUAGUCCCAGAUAGGAGAGCGUAUGGAUCCUUCCUUUCGGGAAACCAGAAAGGUUGAGAGAUGGAUGCAGAUCCUACAGCCAGAAAUGGAACAACUAUUUUAUAACUCCAGGUCUAGAACUUGGCAGUCGUUAACGCCAGACGCCCUCACAAGUGCAGGGAGAAAAUGUUAAGACUUGCCCUGAUCCCUUUGAUCUCUUUACCCAACACGGACAAUGUACACUCAGCUUGUAGAUGUUACCAGAAUAUGGAACAGAUAAUUGGCAGUAAAGGCACAAUCCCCCCCCCCUUUUUUUUUCCCCAGUGUGCCUAUUUUGUGUUUCCACAAUGUUAACCUCACCACUGUCAUUCUUGGAAGUAACCUUGCGCGGUGGGUGUUAUAGAUGUGGCUGGGGCAGCUAAGAAGUUUCAAAGCUGUUAGGGUUGUACCUGCAGUGAUAGAAAACUGAAGGGACAAAGAUGACCCUCAUGACCUUUGUGGAUCUCUGCCCCCAGAUCCUCCGUGCUUGCUCGAUUAAAUCCAUUCCCACAAGAAAUGCGAGAGAGAAGUUUCUGUGGGUCAACUCCAGCAGAGUGAGCGCUAUCGUUCAUACCACAGCCGUAUCCAGAUGCUCUGGUAGACCAUACUCUGUUUUUAUUUCUUUAUUUUUUAAGAUUCAUUUUAUUGGAGCUGGCGCUGUGGGCAGUGGGUUAAAGCCCCGGCCUGCAGCACCAGCAUCCCAUAAUGGGCGCUGGUUCAAGUCCCAGCUGCUCUACUCCUGAUCCAGCUCUCUGCUAUGGCCUGGAAAGCAGCGGAAGAUGGCCCAAGUCCUUGGGGCCCUGCACCCGCGUGGGAGACCCAGAAGAGGUUCCUGGCUCCUGGCUUUGGAUCAGCUCAGCUCUGGCCGUUGCGGCCAUUUGAGACAGAAUAGUUACAAGGAGCAGUGGCUAAAGUCUCUGACUUGCCAUCGGGGCCUCACCUCCAGAUUGAGACACCCUCAGCCGCUGGGAAUGUACCUAGAGACAACCCUAGAACAACCAUCUGGAAGCAUCGAGAAGGAGAGCUGCCUGGCAAGCUAAAUGCAAGGUGCACUGGCAGGGAGUUGGAUCGGAAGUAGAGCAGCUGGGACUCAAACCAGUGCUCAUGUGUGGAGCCAGCACUGCCGUCAGUGGCUUAACCCACUAUGCCACAGCACCGGCUUCAAGAGUUACUUUAUAAAGGCUACAAAUCAGAGUGUCUGUGCCCUUGCUUCUUUGAAUUAGAACAAUGGCCCUCCCGCAAAUCCAGCAUCCUCUCCAACAAGGAAACUAAGCUGAUCUUCAGUCUGGAGUUUUUACUGGGGUUUCAUUAAACAGUCACAUUUGGCUGAAUUGGCUCCAUGACUGAACUCAAUUCUCACCCCUCUCUCCUCCUGGGGUGUUAGGAGGUUGGACUGAUACCAUGUGGUUCAACAUCCUUUAAUCUCCUGAUUGGUCUUUCAGACAUGGCCAGUUUCCAUUCCUUCCAUUCCUGAGUCAUCACAUUAGCAUGGAGUCAGAUGCAGUCCAAGGACCCCAAAUAAAUAAAAAAGACACACCUAUCACUUGGGAAAUCUCAGGGACUUAGAAGUUACCUCCCCAAAACAAGAGAUAAAAAGAGUCAAAUUCUUAAAAAAAAAAGAUUUAUUUAUUUUACUUGAAAGAAUUAAAGAAUUACAGAGAGAGAGAAGGAGAGGCAGAGAGAGAGAGUCUUCCAUCCGCUGGUUCACUCCCCUCCCCAACUAGCCACAACGGCCAGAGCUGUGCCUAUCCGAAGCCAGGAGCCAGGAGCUUCUUCCAGGUAUCCCACGUGGAUGCAGGGGCCCAAGGACUUGGGCCAUCUUCUACUGCUUUCCCAGGCCAUAGCAGAGAGCUGGAUCAGAAGUGGAGCAACUAGGACUUGAACCGGCGACCAUAUGGGAUGCUGGCACUGCAGGUGGCGGCUUUACCCACUAUGCCACAGUGCUGGCCCCGUCAAAUUCUUUAUUUCACAAUAACACUAGUCAAGUUUUCCCUGUCUGAUUCUACUUUCUUUUUUCCUUUUAAUUUAAUUUAUUUAUUUGACAAACAGAGAGGGGAAAAGACAGACAGACAGACAGACAGAGAGGGCUCCCAUCUGUUAGUUCACUCUCCCAAAUGCCUGCAAAGACUGGGGCUAGACCAAGGCCAAAGCUAGAAGCCAAGGACACCAUCAAGGUGGGAAACUAUCACCAACAUGGAUGGCAGGAACCCACUGCCGUAACCACUGCCUCCCAGGGUGUGCGUUUGCAGGAAGCUGGGAUCGGGAGCUGGAUCUUGGAAUUGAAUGCAGGCACUCUGAAGUGGGAUAUGGAUGCUUCAACUACUAGUUCCCUGCUAAUGCACCUGGGAAAACAGCAGACAAUGACCCAAGUCCGUAGCCCCUACACCCAUAUGGGAAACCUGGAGGAAGCUUCUGGCUCCUGGCUUCAGCAUGGCACAGCCCUGGCCUUUGAGGCCAUUUGGGGAGUGAACCAGCAGAUGGAAGACUCUCUUUCUCUCUCUCUCUCUCUCUCUCUCUCUCUCUCUCUCUCUUUGCCUCUGUCUCUCCCUCUCUGUAACUCCACCUUUUAAGUAAAUAAAUAAAUAAAUCUUAAAAAAGAAUGCAGGCACUAGGGAACCCCUUGGGUCAUUGGAUCUGCUUUCAAGCAAGGAGCUAAAGGCACUCAUAGGCUUAUGUCCUUGCUCAUCCACUCCUGAUCUCAUUUUCAUCUCUUGCUUUUCCACUGAUGUGGAUCCUCAGUGUGCUCCCUACUAAACUUCCGGAAUACAAAUCCUUGCCCCAAAGUCUACUUUUCAUAGAACCUGACCUAAAGGAUUUGGUGCCAGGAAUGACCUAAGAAAGCAGAUAUCAUGACUGGAUUUUGGAGCUGGCCACCCUUUGGUAGGUGCAGAGAAUCAGUGUGGACAUUAGAACAUAGCUUCUCAGGGAAGUAGAAAUCAGAGCAAUUGUUGAAACUCUCACCGUAGUGUACUGAAGAAAAACAUGCAGUACAGAGUGAAAGAGUGCACUGAUCUCAGGCCAGGGAAAAUGAUAAACACACACACACAGUGGAAUUUGAUGGCUGUUGCUAAGUGGUACUUUGGAAAGUGAUAAUGAAAUGCUGAAGAGUGAUUAAUCUGUGACACAAAGUUAAAGGUGAGAACCAGAGGUCCUUCAAGAGAGCAUAUAAAACAGUUCUCACCCCCUGCAGUGGAAAGACAGAGAAAGCUGAGGGCCCAUCCCAGGACUUAACAUAAAAGUGGCAGAACACCGAAUGGAAACUUCCAAGGACUAAACUCUCCACUUGGGCAGGUGUGAUAUGUCAAAGUUGGCACCCUGGUUGGAAAAGAGGGGGACCCUGGCAUGUGAGAUGGGGUUGUUUGAUUGAUGUACCUGAAAAUUCUGGAAUCUCGGUCUUCCUCACCUGCUAGGCCUGCAAAUGUCCCACUCCUCCUGAUAUUGAGCUAGUGCUCCUCCCUGUGAGAUCAUGCAGAGGUCUCCUGUCUAUAGAAUAAUAUUCAUCUCUCCCCUGAUGGCUUCUGGGCAAUAAUUAGGAUCAAUUCACAACAGAUGAUAUUCAGAGGACAUCAUAGGACUACAACCCUAUCCCAAAAAAGCUAUAGGACCCAGCCAAUAGGUGCCAGCACCAGCCAGAGAGUAUGCAUGGGACUGAAUCUUCCCCAAUCUGUGGACUAGGGAGGAAGAAAGUGUUCUCCAGUGGAAUGUAAAACUACACAAGGGAGAAUAUCCAUUUGGGAAAACUCCUCCAGGAUACAGCAUUUGACAUUUAUGCAAGGGCCCCAGAUGAUGGUGUGAGCACACUUAAAUUGUUAUCUGGAAGCAAGGAUAAAUCAACAGCCUACCAUACAUGAAGUUAAAUAGAAAUGCAAGAAUGGCUAUGGGUGACAGUGUGAAAAAAGACUUUGCCACAUGAAGAAGUAACUAUACUGAAUUGAAAGUACUUACAGAAAACUGAAAAGACCAAAAGAUGGAUGUAUUUCCCAUAUAAAUUCAGAGGAUACACUAAUGAUCGAUCACUCAUUAGAGGAAUUAUCUGGCGAGAGAGGCGCUGACAUGACUUGGAAUUCUAGGGGUGGCUCUCCCCGCAAUCCAGGUGUGAAGGUAGAAGAUGCCAGUGCAGAACUGGGCUCACUGGGAGCAGCAGGGAUGAGAGUACCUUGUCCCAUGGAAGUCACAUGGUGGCAUUCAAACAAUGAAAGUCAAGCGACUACUAUGACGUAAGAGUGGCAGUCAUAGAAGUCAUGGAGAUGGGAAGUAGAAUGAGGCAUCUAGAGAAAAUAGAUGAGCAGACUUCAAUCCGAACAACCAAAAUGAUCAGGACACUGAGGCAGUUUCCCUGAUAAAAAGCCACAAUCACGCGCUGCGGCUCACUAGGCUAAUCCUCCGCAUUGCAGCGCCGGCACACCGGGUUCUAGUCCCGGUGGGGGCGCUGGAUUCUGUCCCGGUUGCCCCUCUUCCAGGCCAGCCCUCUGCUGUGGCCCGGGAGUGCAGUGGAGGAUGGCCCAAGUACUUGGGCCCUGCACCCCAUGGGAGACCAGGAUAAGUGCCUGGCUCCUGCCAUCGGAUCAGCGCGGUGCGCCGGCCGCAGCGUGCUGGCCACAGCGGCCAUUGGAGGGUGAACCAACGGCAAAGGAAGACCUUUCUCUCUGUCUCUCUCUCUCACUGUCCACUCUGCCUGUCAAAAAAAUAAAUAAAUUAAAAAAAAAAAAAGCCACAAUCACUUGCCUACGUUGUAGACUUGAACUAGUUUUUGGACCUGGACUACCUUGACAAAGGGAGGGACAAAAAUCCUUAGGAGAAAGGACUCUGAAACAUGUUCACAGUAAUAAAUUACACUGGUGCUCUGUCGCCAUUCACUUAGGCAGCCGUAUACUGAGGAAAAGGGAACAUCUAAAUAGUUCAAGGAUGAUUGAGUGGAGUGUGGCCUGACAUCGAUAUCAAUAGACUUGAAGGGUCAUUAUGGCUUCUCUCUGAAAAUGAGGGCUUAUAGGAUCCUAGGAUGGAGUUCUACUCACUUGCCAUGUCAUCAGCAUGCAUACAGGGCCAGCGCUGUGGUGUAGCGGGUAAAGCUGCCGCCUACAGUGCCGGCAUCCCAUAUGGACGCCAGUUCAAGUCUCAGCUGCUCCACUUCCAUUCCAGCUCUCUGCUGGGGCCUGGGAGAGCAGUAGAAGAUGGCCCAAGUCCUUGGGCCCCUGCACAUGCUCCUGGCUCCUGGCUUCGGAACAGCCCAGCUCCGGCCUUUGAGGCCAUCUGGGGAGUGAACCAGCAGAUGGAGGACCGCUCUCUCUUUCUCUGCCUCUCCUCUCUCUGUGUAACUCUGACUUUCAAAUACAAUAAAUGAAUCUUUAAAAAAAAGGUAGAAUAGAUAUUCUUAGUAAAUAUCUAUAUAAUUUUUUUGGAUUUUGUUUUUAUUCCAUAAAAAGUAAAU